UGUCUAAAAACCCUCACAAAAGUAUCUUAACAUUUUAGGAGGAAGAAUUUUGGAGCUGAAAGCUGACAUUUCUCUAAAAACUCCAGUUUUCUUAACAGCUAAAGAAUCUCUGGAGAAUAUUUAUUAAGACUUCCUGAAGCUUCUUUAAAAUAUGCUAGAGCAGACUAAUGGAAAAUGUAAAAAUCAAAAUCAAUCUAUCAAAAUCUCCGAAGAAUCUGUUCAUUUUAUUUAUGAUUUGAUUUCCAAACCCAGGCUGCUCUACCAAUUCGACAAAAAAAUAAGGAUAAAUCGAAACGCAAACCAGUUUUCAGCACCAAUUAACUGUAAGGUAGGGGUGUGGUUGGAUGCACUGAGAAUACAUUUUGAAUGCACAUGAUGUGGUAAUUACAAAUCCUUCCGAAGCUCAUGCUCAAUCAUGUGUAUGUGUAUGGAGGCAAAUAGUAGGUCAUAACGAGCACAUAACCAUCGCCUUAUUUUCAUUUCGGUACAUUCAAUUGGCAAGUCCCAACUUUAAUCAUUAUACAUAGUUUGAAACAAAAAUCUGAAAGGCAUCGCCGACGAAUGGAAAUUUCAUGCAAUUUUAGCCCAUAGACAGAAAAUAGCAAUCAGUAGUAAGCAAAAGAACCCAAUGAUGUUUCACCAAAUUAGAAGUUUUAUUUUCAUGUUUUAUAGAGCUAUUAAGAAAACAAAGUGGGGUAGUUAUAAAGAAAUCUGCAUAGAAAGUUAAGAAGUGUUUUAAAAGCAGUUAAAUCUAAUUUAUUGUUCACUUUAUAGUUUAAGUGGAUUCUGUCUCAAUAUAC